UUCAAAACCAUCAUAUAAAAGUAUCUCUUUUUCAUCAUCUUUCCAGUUGCAUCAUCUAAUAUAUGAAGUUGGAUCAAGCCAACUACCUUCACUCAAAAGUAUUUUUAAUAGGUAGUGUUUUAAUUUUUGUGGGGGGGAGGUUGUUUUGGUGGCUUGGGGAACUUUAAUCAUUGUCUAAAUAUAAGUUGUCAACCUUUGUUUAAAUAUAAGUUGUCAACCUUUACCACUAGUAUAUUCAACACUGUCCUUACAGGAGGAUUUGAUGCAUCUUCCAGAGACAGCUCUUCAUUGCCCGACCCCUACCAACAAAAAGUCCAUAGAAAUGGCAGUGUAGAGAACUACAAAUCAGAAUCCACUCCAGAGGUCUCACAAAGGUUUAAGGGAAAACUCCAGUUGAACAAAAGAUUAUCUCUAGUUGGAGCUGCAGAUGAAGUUAGUGAUUUUAUUUUUUAUUUUUUUUUUACAAAGAUCCCUUUAAGCAUGAAAUAUACUGAAUUUUAUUUUAAACUGUAAUUUGAUUGUGCAUUCAUUUUGGAUGUAGUGAAAUAUAGGUCACCUUAAAGUUACACAGUAUAUUCAUAUACAUAUUUUCUCACAGCCACAUCUUCAAGAACUGCAGAUUUAGGUCUAAAAGAAUUUAUAGCUGUGUCGGAGGCAGAGGCUGCAAAUGCAAGGUACAGAGCUACAUUGUUGGCACGUCUCAAAACAAUUGAGGAAAAUCAGCGGCUGAUGGUAAACCUACUACAAUCUGUAGCUGCAUCUGUAGGGUCAGGAGGGGAGGGUGUGGAUGAUGUUUUGCCAGCCCCAGUAUGCAGUUUAGAGGAGCUGGAUGACUUGUACACUAAGUUAACUGAUGAAACAUUCAAAAAGAAAUUGGUAAGAACAAGUUUUAUUAUCUUGGAGAUUAGAAACUGCUUUUUUAAGUGUUUUGGGGCUUCCAUUAUUUAUAGCAGACCGUUCUGGAUACUUUGAAUAUAGAUGUAAGGCUAGUUUUUAUGCAUGAGAAAAGUAAAUUUUAUCAUUUUCUUCUAUAUAUUGCAGACACUGUAUUUGUCAUCAUUAGGAGGGCAUAGCCUUGGAGACACAGUUCGUAGGAUUAUAUUAAAAAGCUUGGAAGUAAUAGUGUGUGGUCCUCAUAUAGUCUAAAGGGAAGGAAAGGACAGCUAGCAUUUACUGAUCUUCCUAUCUGCAAAGUUGUCAUCAGAUCCUGAGUCUAAAAGACCCAAUUAUUUAAUAGCACAAGAACCAUCCGAUUCAUCAUCCGAUUCAGAAAACUAGGCGCAGAUUAAAUCAAGACAGAGUGCAAGGUUCAGUGGCCCAGGAAGGUCAUACAGUAUGAGGCCCUCCACACACACACUCCUGCUGUCAUACUUCCCACUCUCAAUACCACAUAACCAUCAUUUACCACCUGCUACCACUUAUUGUAGUACGGUAAUUGUUGAUAUGCAAGCAAGUCAGUACCAAGUCUACCUUGCUCCAAAGAACCCUCUUGUGCAAGAUAAAAUUCAUGAUCUUAUAAUUCAUAAUGUAAGUUUAUAUUACUUAAAUGCUACCAGGAGAGAUCAAGUAGAGUAUAUGUAUAGCUCAUGAAAUAUGAAUUCUUUUUUUCUACAAUACUAUAUAUUUAUGCCUAACCCUUUUUUUUCUACCUCAAAAAUAUUAUUGCCCAUGGAAUAUCCUAUAUUUGCUUUUAUAUGCUGUAUACUCUUCCAGGAAUAUUCUUUUGGUUCAAAUAUAUUUGUAUGCAUAUUAUCUGUGCCCUUUCUUGAGCUUACAUUUUUACUUUACAUUUAUCAGUGCCUCUGGAAUCUAAAUAUUUUGUUAUAUGCCAAUUUAUGGCCUACUUGGAAAGUGCUGUUUUUGCUUUUUAUAUGGUAUGCUCUUCAUGGAAUUUUUUUAUUUUCAUCAAUGGUCGUAUAUUGUACUAUUUAUGCCAUCGAAUUUAAUAUUUUUUAACCAGUAUCUUUGAAAAUGGGAUGUACUAUUUCCUCAUUGUAUUUUAUACCAAUCUAUUGCUUAUUUGGAAUAUGCUAUUUUUGUUAAUAUGUAUUUUAUACUCUUCAUGGAAUUUUUUUCAACUAUAUUUGUUGCCUUGAAUUAUUAUUUUUCUUAAAACACAUAAUUGACUAUGGCAUGUACUAUAUAUGUAUUGUAUUUACUAAUAUCUGGCCUACUUGCUAUUUUUUAAUGUAUAUUUUGUACUUUUUUUUUCAUCUAUGGCUGUGUACUAUUUAUGCCCUUGAAUUAAAAUUUUUUUUUUAUACAUAUUAGUUUCCAUGGAAUAUACUAUUGUUACAGUAUUUUGCACUCUAUUUUCUGUUAAUAUAUAUUCGUAUGUAUAUAUACCUAGUCUUGGAAUGUGCCAUAUUUUUCUUUUAAUAUAUAUUCGUAAAUAUUCUUACCCAGCCAUGGAAUGUACUAUAUUUAUCUUUUUAUAUAAAUUCCCAUGUAUUUAUACCCACCCUUGGAAUGUACUAAUUUUUCUUUUAAUAUAUAUUUCUAUAUAUUUAUACCCAGCCUUGGAAUAUAUCAGCUAAUUAUGAACUGUACCUGAUUAUAUAACAUUUCCCUUGUUUAUAAAUGUCUUAAUCGACAUAUACUAUUUUUGAUAGAAUAAAAUGUCAAUAUUGAGUACGUACUGUUUUUAAUUUAGACCUUUCAUUACCAUUACAAGAACAUUAUUCCAAAGUGCUAUUUUAGUGGUUAGGAGGUGACUUUUUCACGUAAAUUUCUAUGUUGCUUCCACGUAAUGUCGUGUCUACAGAUCUACGUUUAUUUCACAUAGAAAAAUAACGUGACCACAACGAUUUUGCAAUGUGUUCACGUGGUGACCACGUAGAUGUGCUAGGUGGGUAUUAUAUAUAUAUAUUAUAUAUAUAUAUAUAUAUAUAUAUAUGUGUGUGUGUGUAUGUGGGAGAAAGCUUUAUGUAGACCUUUUAACAUAAUUUGGAGAAAUACAGUUUUAUAGCCCUUUUGAACAAGGUCAUGGGCCCAGCAGCGUCAGCCCUCAAAAAAUGCAUUGUAUAGUUGAGGUUGGGAGGAACAUUUUGAAAAGAUCAGUGUAAAUGUAAUUGAGUGAAUUUGACAUGCUUGAAGACAGUGAGUGACAAUGAGAGGAAAUGGAUUGGGUCAAUAAGAAGUGGCUGGUUGAAGAAAUGAAAGUAUUAAUGUAGAACAAAGGUAUAUUUUAUGUUGUA